UACGUAGGGUGCAAGCGUUGUCCGGAAUUAUUGGGUGUAAAGAGCUCGUAGGCGGUUUGUCGCGUCUGCUGUGAAAACUCGGGGCUUAACCCCGGGCCUGCAGUGGGUACGGGCAGACUAGAGUGCGGUAGGGGAGACUGGAAUUCCUGGUGUAGCGGUGAAAUGCGUAGAUAUUGGGAGGAACACCAGUGGCGAAGGCGGCUACCUGGACCGGAACUGACGCUGAUGCGCGAAAGCGUGGGUAGCAAACGAGG
rnacentral:rRNA from 1 species